UAGCUCAGCUGGUUAGAGCGCACGCCUGAUAAGCGUGAGGUCGAUGGUUCGAGUCC
rnacentral:tRNA from 1 species